AGAGUUUGAUCCUGGCUCAGGAUGAACGCUGGCGGCGUGCUUAACACAUGCAAGUCGAACGAAGCACUUAAGACGGAUUACUUCGGUUUGAAGUCUUAUUUGACUGAGUGGCGGACGGGUGAGUAACGCGUGGGUAACCUGCCUCAUACAGGGGGAUAACAGUUAGAAAUGACUGCUAAUACCGCAUAAGCGCACGGUCUCGCAUGGGACGGUGUGAAAAACUCCGGUGGUAUGAGAUGGACCCGCGUCUGAUUAGCUGGUUGGUGAGGUAAGGGCUCACCAAGGCGACGAUCAGUAGCCGGCCUGAGAGGGUGAACGGCCACAUUGGGACUGAGACACGGCCCAAACUCCUACGGGAGGCAGCAGUGGGGAAUAUUGCACAAUGGGGGAAACCCCGAUGCAGCGACGCCGCGUGAAGGAAGAAGUAUUUCGGUAUGUAAACUUCUAUCAGCAGGGAAGAAAAUGACGGUACCUGACUAAGAAGCCCCGGCUAACUACGUG
rnacentral:rRNA from 1 species